GUGCUCAUUUUGCCAUCACAUACUAAAAUUGGAAUGAUACAGAGAAAAUUAGCAUGGCCCCUGAGCAAGGAUGACACAAAAAUGGGCAGAAUCAGUGAGAAAUUUC
rnacentral:snRNA from 1 species